rnacentral:rRNA from 1 species
UACGAAGGGGGCUAGCGUUGUUCGGAAUCACUGGGCGUAAAGGGCGCGUAGGCGGCUUUAUAAGUCGGGGGUGAAAGCCUGUGGCUCAACCACAGAAUUGCCUUCGAUACUGUAGAGCUUGAGACCGGAAGAGGUAAGUGGAACUGCGAGUGUAGAGGUGAAAUUCGUAGAUAUCCGGAGGAACACCAGUGGCGAAAGCGGCCACCUGGACUGCACCUGACGCUGACACGCGAAAGCUAGGGGAGCGAACGGG